AGAGUUUGAUCAUGGCUCAGAACGAACGCUGGCGGCGUGCCUAACACAUGCAAGUCGAACGAGGUCGCAAGACCUAGUGGCGGACGGGUGAGUAUAACAUAGGUAAUCUGCCCUCUGGUGGGGGAUACCCAGCCGAAAGGUUGGCUAAUACCGCAUAAGAUCGUUGGGUGAAAUCCCCGAUGAUGAAAGGUUUACUGCCAGAGGAUGAGCCUGUGGUCGAUUAGCUUGUUGGUGGGGUAAUGGCCUACCAAGGCGACGAUCGAUAGCUGGUCUGAGAGGACGAUCAGCCACACUGGGACUGAGACACGGCCCAGACUCCUACGGGAGGCAGCAGUGGGGAAUUUUCCGCAAUGGGCGAAAGCCUGACGGAGCGACGCCGCGUGGAGGAUGAAGGUCUUCGGAUUGUAAACUCCUUUCGGCAGGGACGAUAAUGACGGUACCUGCAAAAGAAGCAUCGGCUAACUACGUGCCAGCAGCCGCGGUAAGACGUAGGAUGCGAGCGUUGUUCGGAUUUAUUGGGCGUAAAGCGUACGUAGGCGGUUUUGCAAGUGGGAGGUUAAAGACCAGAGCUCAACUCUGGGAGUGCCCCCCAAACUGCGAGACUAGAGGACCAUAGGGGAAGGUGGAAUUCCGAGUGUAGCGGUGAAAUGCGUAGAUAUUCGGAGGAACACCGGUGGCGAAAGCGACCUUCUGGGUGGUAUCUGACGCUGAGGUACGAAAGCGUGGGGAGCAAACAGGAUUAGAUACCCUAGUAGUCC
rnacentral:rRNA from 1 species